AGUGAACGCUGGCGGUAGGCCUAACACAUGCAAGUCGAACGGCAGCACAGUAAGAGCUUGCUCUUACGGGUGGCGAGUGGCGGACGGGUGAGGAAUACAUCGGAAUCUACUUUUUCGUGGGGGAUAACGUAGGGAAACUUACGCUAAUACAGCAUACGACCUACGGGUGAAAGCAGGGGAUAUUCGGACCUUGCGCGAUUGAAUGAGCCGAUGUCGGAUUAGCUAGUUGGCGGGGUAAAGGCCCACCAAGGCGACGAUCCGUAGCUGGUCUGAGUGGAUGAUCAGCCACACUGGAACUGAGACACGGUCCAGACUCCUACGAGAGGCAGCAGUGGGGAAUAUUGGACAAUGGGCGCAAGCCUGAUCCAGCCAUACCGCGUGGGUGAAGAAGGCCUUCGGGUUGUAAAGCCCUUUUGUUGGGAAAGAAAAGCAGCAGGUUAAUACCCCGCUGUUCUGACGGUACCCAAAGAAUAAGCACCGGCUAACUUCGUG
rnacentral:rRNA from 1 species